GGUAUUUAUAGUUUAUCAACUAGUAUAACGUCAUUGCCAACCCAGUGCAAUGUUAGCACCAAGUCAUCAACCAGCUCACUACCACAUCAGAAAAAAUUUUGAUAGGACUCCUACUAAAUUCAACAAGUAGAUUUUGAUUUUGACAUCCAUUCUAGGUAAGAAUGACUAUCUAGUUAGAUUUUAUGUAAACUACAAUUCAAAGGCUACAAGAUGAAAUUGAUGACUACAAUGUGUCUGUUUGCUGAAAAUCAAAUAUUACAAGUUGAAAAUAACUAUAAGAUACAAUUAGAUGAAAUAUUUUAUUUGAGGG
rnacentral:misc_RNA from 1 species